rnacentral:rRNA from 1 species
GAUGAACGCUGGCGGCGUGCCUAAUACAUGCAAGUCGAGCGAACAGACGAGGAGCUUGCUCCUCUGACGUUAGCGGCGGACGGGUGAGUAACACGUGGAUAACCUACCUAUAAGACUGGGAUAACUUCGGGAAACCGGAGCUAAUACCGGAUAAUAUAUUGAACCGCAUGGUUCAAUAGUGAAAGACGGGUUUGCUGUCACUUAUAGAUGGAUCCGCGCCGCAUUAGCUAGUUGGUAAGGUAACGGCUUACCAAGGCAACGAUGCGUAGCCGACCUGAGAGGAUGAUCGGCCACACUGGAACUGAGACACGGUACAGACUCCUACGGGAGGCAGCAGUAGGGAAUCUUCCGCAAUGGGCGAAAGCCUGACGGAGCAACGCCGAGUGAUUGAUGAAGGUCUUCGGAUCGUAAAACUCUGUUAUUAGGGAAGAACAAAUGUGUAAGUAACUAUGCACGUCUUGACGGUACCUAAUCAGAAAGCCACGGCUAACUACGUG